rnacentral:rRNA from 1 species
AGAGUUUGAUCCUGGCUCAGAACGAACGUUGAUGGCGUGCCUCAUACAUGCAAGUCGAGCGCCCCGCAAGGGGAGCGGCGAACGGGUGAGUAACACGUAAAGAAUCUGCCUAAGAUGGGGGAUAACUAUCCCAACGGAUAGCUAAUACCGCAUAAUGAUGGGGGGGGCAUCCCUCCUUCUCAAAAGGCUUCGGCCGUCUUAGGAUGACUUUGCGUCCCAUUAGCUUGUUGGCGGUGUAACGGACCACCAAGGCGACGAUGGGUAUCCGGCCUGAGAGGGUGUACGGACACAUUGGGACUGAGAUACGGCCCAGACUCCUACGGGAGGCAGCAGUAGGGAAUUUUGCGCAAUGGGGGAAACCCUGACGCAGCAACGCCAUGUGUGGGAUGAAGCAUUUCGGUGUGUAAACCACUGUCAGCAGGGAAUAAAAGGCCUUAUGGGCAUUUGAAUGUACCUGCGAAGGAAGCCCCGGCUAACUUCGUGCCAGCAGCCGCGGUAAUACGAGGGGGGCAAAUGUUGUUCGGAAUCACUGGGCGUAAAGGGAGCGUAGGCGGGUUUCUAAGUCAGGUGUUUAAUCCCGGGGCCCAACCCCGGACAGGCACUUGAAACUGGGAAUCUUGAAUAGUGGAGAGGUCAGUGGAAUUGGGGGUGUAGCGGUGGAAUGCGUAGAGAUCCCCAAGAACACCAGUUGCGAAGGCGGCUGACUGGACACAUAUUGACGCUGAGGCUCGAAAGCAUGGGGAGCAAACAGGAUUAGAUACCUGGUAGUCCAUGCCAUAAACGAUGAUUACUAGGUUUUGGGCCCGUCAACGGUCCAGAGCCGCAGCUAACGCGUUAAGUAAUCCGCCUGGGGAGUACGGUCGCAAGACUGAAACUCAAAGGAAUUGACGGGGGCCCGCACAAGCGGUGGAGCAUGUGGUUUAAUUCGACGCAACGCGUAAAGAACCUUACCAAGGCUUGACAUGGGGGAGACCGGACGAGAGAUCGUCCUUCUCUAGCAAUAGAGCUCCCCACACAGGUGCUGCAUGGCUGUCG